rnacentral:rRNA from 1 species
CACGUAGGGCGCGAGCGUUGUCCGGAAUUAUUGGGCGUAAAGAGCUCGUAGGCGGCCUGUUGCGUCCGCUGUGAAAGCCCGGGGCUUAACCCCGGGUCGGCAGUGGAUACGGGCAGGCUAGAGGUAGGUAGGGGAGAAUGGAAUUCCCGGUGUAGCGGUGAAAUGCGCAGAUAUCGGGAGGAACACCGGUGGCGAAGGCGGUUCUCUGGGCCUUACCUGACGCUGAGGAGCGACAGCGUGGGGAGCAAACAGG